AGGACGAACGCUGGCGGCGUGCUUAACACAUGCAAGUGGAGCGACGAACCAGGGCUUGCCCUGGGGCAGAGCCGCGAACGGGUGAGUAACACGUGGGUUACCUGCCUCGAUGACCGGGACAACCCGAGGAAAACUCGGGCUAAUACCGGAUGUGCCCGCAAGGGGAAAGGAAGCUUCGGCCUCCGCAUUGAGAUGGGCCCGCGGCCCAUUAGCUUGUUGGUGAGGUAACGGCUCACCAAGGCUUCGAUGGGUAGCUGGUCUGAGAGGACGAUCAGCCACACUGGGACUGAGACACGGCCCAGACUCCUACGGGAGGCAGCAGUGGGGAAUCUUGCGCAAUGCGCGAAAGCGUGACGCAGCAACGCCGCGUGGGGGAAGAAGGCUUUCGGGUGUAAACCCUUUCAGUUGGGACGAAGCUUCUCCGGUGAAUAGCCGGAUGGAGUGACGGUACCUUCACAAGAAGCACCGGCUAACGUACGUGCCAGCAGCCGCGGU
rnacentral:rRNA from 1 species